AGGAACUGAGAGGUCAGAGAAAAACAGAGAAUGAUCCAGAGAUUGGAUACAUGCUGAGGAACUUCAGUUGCUGCACAAAUGCCCUUAUUUAUGUGGUGACACAGAAACAUUUCCGAGACCAGUUAAAGUACGCCAUGACGUAUCCAGUUA